AUAUCAUAGACAUGUUUGAUCCGAGAUGGAAGGUUCCAGAGUAAGUGACAACUAAGCAGAGAUCUUAAAGAUGUGGGAAAUGGACUUUUUGAAUCCUGGCAUUACUCAUUUGUCGUACAGUCUUAAGGAAGCAACUCAACUCAAAGAACCUUUGUAAUCACCAUGUGAAAACGGCAGGAAGAAUAUAGCCACAGAUUCAAGGGGCACCUACAUGUCUAUGUUCAGAAGCUGCCUUGAUGCCACAUGCGGGAGGCUGGAAAUGCUGAAGGAUGACCACUGCUCAGCAGCAGUCAACCAGUGAUGGAUGAGAGUUGGUGCACAAAUACCCCAGCUCCCUUGCCUCUCAGUUUGGAGAAUCCUGAAAAGGUGUGUACUAUGCUAUUUCUGAGAUUAAGCCCUAGUUACCCAUAGUGGUAGCUAAAUAUAGUAGUUGGCUGUAUUCUCCAUCACUUCUUGAAUCCCCUGCCAGUGUUCU